GACGAACGCUGGCGGCGUGCCUAACACAUGCAAGUCGAGCGGGGAUAUUAGCAAUAAUAUCUUAGCGGCGGACGGGUGAGUAACGCGUGGGCAACCUGCCUUUCACAGGGGGAUAACACAGGGAAACUUGUGCUAAUACCGCAUAACAUGUAUGGAGGACAUCCUCUGUAUAUCAAAGGAGCAAUCCGGUGGAAGAUGGGCCCGCGUCCGAUUAGCUAGUUGGUGGGGUAACGGCUCACCAAGGCGACGAUCGGUAGCCGAACUGAGAGGUUGAUCGGCCACAUUGGGACUGAGACACGGCCCAGACUCCUACGGGAGGCAGCAGUGGGGAAUAUUGCGCAAUGGGGGAAACCCUGACGCAGCAACGCCGCGUGAAGGAUGAAGGUUUUCGGAUUGUAAACUUCUUUGAUGAGGGACGAAAGAAAUGACGGUACCUCAAAAACAAGCCACGGCUAACUACGUGCCAGCAGCCGCGGUAAUACGUAGGUGGCGAGCGUUGUCCGGAAUUACUGGGUGUAAAGGGCGUGUAGGCGGGGAUGUAAGUCAGAUGUGAAAUACCGUGGCUUAACCACGGGGCUGCAUCUGAAACUAUGUUUCUUGAGUGU
rnacentral:rRNA from 2 species